rnacentral:rRNA from 1 species
GACGAACGCUGGCGGCGUGCUUAACACAUGCAAGUCGAACGGUAAGGCCCUUCGGGGUACACGAGUGGCGAACGGGUGAGUAACACGUGGGUGAUCUGCCCUGCACUUCGGGAUAAGCCUGGGAAACUGGGGCUAAUACCGGAUAGGACCACUGCCUGCAUGGGUGGUGGUGGAAAGCUUUUGCGGUGUGGGAUGGGCCCGCGGCCUAUCAGCUUGUUGGUGGGGUAAUGGCCUACCAAGGCGAAGACGGGUAGCCGGCCUGAGAGGGUGACCGGUCACACUGGGACUGAGAUACGGCCCAGACUCCUACGGGAGGCAGCAGUGGGGAAUAUUGCACAAUGGGCGCAAGCCUGAUGCAGCGACGCCGCGUGAGGGAUGACGGCCUUCGGGUUGUAAACCUCUUUCAGCUAUGACGAAGCGCAAGUGACGGUAGUAGCAGAAGAAGGACCGGCCAACUACGUGCCAGCCGCCGCGGUAA